rnacentral:lncRNA from 1 species
CUUUAUCUAUCUAGCAUGAUUUAUCUACUUUCUGUUCUUCUUUUUCAACUUUCUUUUCUUUGCUUUGUUCUCCCUUAAUUGAUGUCUUUUUUUUUAUUUCUUCUUUUUCUUUUUCUUUUCAUCCUCAUGAGCCAUGAGGCAUAGGUUGGGGUGAGCUUCCUUUUCUUUUUGAGAGCUUGAGUCUUCUCUUUCAUUUGUUCCCUCAAAGGUCAUUUUUAAUUUUUUUCAUAUUUUCUUUGCUGAAAUGCAAGAAGUAAUCAAGUUAAAUUCAUUUAAAUCUAAUGAACAACAUAGCAUAUUUAUAGCUUUGGCAUUUAGUUGUGCU